UACAGAGGGUGCGAGCGUUGUCCGGAAUCACUGGGCGUAAAGGGCGCGUAGGUGGCCCGACAAGUCCGUGGUGAAAGCUCGACGCUCAACGUCGAGUCGGCCAUGGAUACUGUUGGGCUGGAGCACUGUAGAGGCUCAUGGAAUUCCGGGUGUAGCGGUGGAAUGCGUAGAGAUCCGGAAGAACACCGGUGGCGAAGGCGGUGAGCUGGGCAGUUGCUGACACUGGAGGCGCGACAGCGUGGGGAGCAAACAGG
rnacentral:rRNA from 1 species